CAGUGCCGCGGUAAUACGUAGGGUGCGAGCGUUAAUCGGAAUUACUGGGCGUAAAGGGCGCGUAGGCGGCAUAUACAGUCAGGCGUGAAAUUCCCGGGCUUAACCUGGGGGCUGCGUUUGAUACGUAUGGGCUAGAGUGGGGAAGAGGGUUGUGGAAUUCCCAGUGUAGAGGUGAAAUUCGUAGAUAUUGGGAAGAACACCGGUGGCGAAGGCGGCAACCUGGUCCUUGACUGACGCUGAGGCGCGAAAGCGUGGGGAGCAAACAGGAUUAGAUACCCCCGUAGUCCCUGUCUCUUAUACC
rnacentral:rRNA from 1 species